AUGGUCGGAAAAAGCAGCAGAACUCAUCCUAAAGUAGUAUUAAUUAUACCACCCAUCCCCAAGGAGCGUUUCGUGUGCUGGUGUUUGGCACCAACCCCACUCCCAUCGUGGUGUUUGCUGUAUAAUUAAAGUUUUCUCCAGACUCCCAUGGCCAGGAGCCGCGGAGGAGAGCAAGAGCGAAGGCAUUGCGAAACGCACGAAUGUUGCAAUCAGCUAAAUGUCUCAACGCUUCGCAGAAUUUUCUCAAUUGUGCUUUGCAUUUGUCAAAUUCGAAAUUCGCUUCCUCCCCGCCAAAAAGGACGUGUACUACACAUUUGUUGCGGCGGUCGCUUCGCAAAGACAAAUUUCCACCAGCAACCAGCACAGCAUUUCUGAUCCUGAUUAACGAAUGAUUCCAACCGUUUUGACGUAAUCUUGUCUCGCUUAUAUAACGGCACUGGGCCCAUCACCACCACCACCACUAUUGCCCCUCCCAGUGCGAGGACCGAGAGACACAUUCAAAAGCGGAUCCUUCAACCGUGGAAAACGUUAAAAGCGUAACCAAAUUUGCUCCGAACCGUAGAGCAGCUUCCUUCGCACCAGCUGCACUUUGGGAUUUUGUUUUACUGCGACAUAAGUCACGGCGGCUUACAUUAACACAGGCGGCCGCAGCCGCUUUGAGGUUAGGCCCCGCAGCUAAGGAUUUGCUUCCCAACCUCCUCCACUCCACCUUUACCGCGCGUCCACAGAUCCACAGAGUGUGUGUGUGUGUGUUCGAAUGUUCCUUUGUUCACUGUGGCGUAUACGCGUUCCCCAACCCCCCCCCCCUUACGUAGCUAAAUAUGACUCAUUUCGACCGAAUGCCUCCGCAUUCGCAAAAGAUCUUAUUGGAGCGUGCCAAAAAGGACAGGCGGCAGUGGCAGCCAGCAAGUCGACAAGCCAAUUUAAAAUGCUUUCACGGUACUUGCUGCUUCACCACACUGCGCACCCCACUCCAAUCUGCCAAUCUGUCCGCCGCCUGCUCUGUUGCUCUCUUUUGCUGCGGGAUCGAACCGUAGAAGCUUUGAAAAUCAAUUAAUCAUAUGUACAAUGGACAAACACACACACACGGUGCCACACACACACAUAGGAACGCACAUGGUGUACAGGGCAUCAGGUUGGCACUGCUCUUCUUGUCCAUCUAGCUUCGAUGCUAUCGGUAUGUGGUGGUGGUAGUGCAAUAAAAAGAUCACUUUAUUGGAUUACGGCA